AGAGAGAGAGAGAGGGUGAGAGAGAAAAAGAGAGAGAGAGAGAGAGAGAGAGAGAGAGAUGAGGGCAGAAGCAGAGCCAGAGAUUCCAGGAUCUAAAGGGAGGAUAAAGGGUGGAGAGUGUCUGCCUCUCGGAUCUUUUUUCUUCUCAUCUUUUACCUUUUUUUUUUUUUUUUUUUGUGCCUGUAAGGGUGAGGUUUUCAUCUGGAGGAUAGAAAGAGUUAGAGAGGGGGGCGUUUCCCCCCCUCGUCUUCAUCUCCACAGUGAUUUCCAGAUAUUGCCAAUGCACUGUCGUCGACUUGAGUGCAUGGAUGAGGAAUUGACAGACUUCCAACAAUGGGAACCUGGACACUUUCAGCAGCUUAUGAAAUCCCCACCCUUCCCUCCAGCUCUCUCCUGCCGUAUAGCGUCGACCACAGAAAAGAGGGUGGCGGGGAGGAGGAGGGGAGGGGGGGAUGGGAGGCGAGAGCCAGGGAGAAAGAAAAGAGAAAGAGAAAGAGGAGAGAGAGGUUGGAGGGGAGCGAGGUGGGCAUGACCGUUUGCUCCCGUCUCGACCACGGGUAUUCUUGGGUUGAUAAUACAGAUGUCGAUGUUAUUGCUUGAGAAUACGCGUAGCUGAGCGGAAGCCAUCAUCGCAUCAUCGGCGAGCGGCAGUAAAAAAAAAAAAGAAAGACGAUUCUCCUCCUCCGUCGGUGUGAAGAGGAUCGACGGCGGCAGCAGUGGUGGUGGUGGUGGUGGUAAUCCUCUCCUAAAAGCCCUGCUCGUGGUCCUCAAGCUCCUGAACCCACCCCCCACCCUGCCCAGCAUCGCCCGGGCCUCCGCAGGAAUGGGCGAAUGUGAUGCCGGGGCUCAUCCAUGUAAAGGGCCCUUUGACAGAAACUGUGUCUGUGUGCUAAACCCCUGGAAAUUCCCAGCAAGAGGAUUCUCCACGCCACUCCCCAGAGACUCCACUCACAUCAGCGCCACUGUCUCACUGUGUCACUGCGCAUGUGUGUGUCUGUGUUUGAGUGUGUGUGUGUGUGUGUGAGCACAAUUUUUCUGUCUCUUCUUCCACACAGCAAUUAAAGAUCCAAUUGAUUUCCCUGCCUACACUGAUUACCUGCUUCACUAGUUUGGUUUUUCUAUGAAAUCUGAUUAACACUGGGACUGUAUACGCACAGGGAGUUGGAAAAGUCACCCAGGCACCUCGUAAAUGUAAAUGCAAGGGCCUCAAAAAGUAUAAAAAUGUGACCCUUUUAGAAAGACUAGAGGAAGUUAUUUUUAAACUUGGGUUUGCAUUGUUUCCACACAACUUUCUUUAGUUUCCGUGUUUAUGUAGAACU